rnacentral:rRNA from 1 species
UACGGAGGGUGCGAGCGUUGUUCGGAAUCACUGGGCGUAAAGCGCGUGUAGGCGGCCCGCUAAGUCUGAUGUGAAAGCCCGAGGCUCACCCUCGGAAGUGCAUUGGAAACUGGCGGACUGGAGUCCCGGAGAGGAGGGUGGAAUUCCUGGUGUAGCGGUGAAAUGCGUAGAUAUCAGGAGGAACACCGGUGGCGAAGGCGGCCCUCUGGACGGUGACUGACGCUGAGGCGCGAAAGCGUGGGGAGCAAACAGG